ACUUCAGAUUUAGAGGGCAAGUGGAGAUCUGCACAGAUGGCUCAGCACUUGUUGGACUGACCUCAGAUGCUGUCCAGAUGCAGCCCAUGGUCCAGCGAUGCUAUGGCUGUCAGAGGAGCUUCAGAGCCGCUGAAGGAGCCCUGAUAGAUUAAGGUGGACCUUCUGUUUGCCUCCUUUGCCAUUGUGCUCCAGAAAUGAAGGAAUAUUAUCUCCCUGAAGACUGGAGAAUGAAGAGCGGAGGCGUUAAUGACAUUGGGUGGGUUUGGGACACUGGCAGGGGCAGAGGAGAGGGACACGAUGGAUAAUGUCAUUAUUUUGUAGUCUCAUUCGUGACCUGGAGGAUGUAAACAAUUACGCUGGUGAUAGAGGAGGGGCAAACAGGGCAGAAACAAAGCUUUAGCUCUUUAAAGUUAACUGGGUGUGUGAAUCUAAUGUAUCAUCUAAAAUUGUUUUUGGGAAUGAGACUAUUUGGACCUUUUUAAGCUUGAUUUGAACUUUUAUCACAAUUAGAAAUUUUUUUUAUUUGAUUUAUUUAUUUUUAAUAAAAGCAUUUUUUUCAGCAUCA